rnacentral:snRNA from 1 species
AACCCAAAGUGGAAGGUGGCUUUCCUAGGUUGAAAUUUAUCCACUACACUCUGGGUGUGAUGACCCCUGCAAUUUUCCCAAAUGUAGGAAACUCUACUGCGCAAUUUGUGAUAAUGGGGGACUGUGUUUGACCUUUCCCCUG